UUGGCUGAAACCUUAGCCUAGAGCAUGUAACUCUGGAUGUCCGAAAAAGCCCAUACGUCAUGGUGGAGUGAUGAGUUUUACUCGUGACGCCAUUCUCUUCGAAUCAACGGAUCAUGGGCUUGAUUCUGAGCUCAAAGCCCAAAUUUACAGUUUGCCUGAUUAACCCUUGUGCACGCGUUUCUCUAGUUCCUCUUCGAUUGCUUCUGCCAUAUGUUCUACAUCACUUACACCCAAAUUCGAA
rnacentral:lncRNA from 1 species